UUGAGGUCAGCUGCAGAUCCAUUUUCUGCCACCGAAUACAUUAGCAUGGGAUAAUGGAAUAGGACCCUGUCCUCCUAUUUUCAGUUGGUUUUGGCAGCGCGAGGACUAGGGUAAUGAUUAAUAGGGAUAGUUGGGGGCAUUAAUAUUUAAUUGUCAGAGGUGAAAUUCUUGGAUUUAUGAAAGAUUAACUUCUGCGAAAGCAUCUGCCAAGGAUGUUUUCAUUAAUCAAGAACGAAAGUUAGGGGAUCGAAGACGAUCAGAUACCGUCGUAGUCUUAACCAUAAACGAUGCCGACCAGCGAUUAGGAGACGUUGAAUACAAAACACCACCAUCGGUUGCGGUCGUCCUUGGCGUCUCGGUUUCGGCCGGGGCGCGGGGACGGUUUAGCCCGGUGGCACCGGUGAAUGACUCCCUAGACUUUGGUGGAGAA
rnacentral:rRNA from 1 species